UGUGUGUGUAUGGGGUCAAGAUGUAACCCCAGGAAGACUCCCCAAAGUUGGUGCCAGGAGUCUAGCGGUACAUCUGAACAAAAGGCUCUUAGACUCAAACAGAUAUACGUGUGUUUGCUAUACCAUAUAUCAGCAGGAGAAGAUACGACCUCUCCUAGGAGGUGUGUGAUCUAUGCCAGAACACUCUGAAGAGGAGUGAACGCACUCCCCUCUUCAUGCUACACAGAGUUGUUACAGACCUCCUAGGAUGAGACAUUCUUUCAAUCUACAAAUGAUUAUAUACUUCUAAGCAUAUAUGAGUAAAUAUUUCUAAGCAUAAAUGACAAUCACAAUACAAAUCUAACAUUUCCCCGCUUUUGGCAAUUAUGCUAGAAAAGUCCCCAGUUAUGAUCACGUCAUGUCCGACAGUGUCAAUGCAAACAUUUUUAUACUCAGCAUAUGUAAACGUAUACAGUCUGACAAAUAUAUUAGCAGUUAUCCAAGGUCUCAUUGAUCUCAUACAAUGGUAAACUGCAUCCUACAAGCAAACAGAUGAAUUGUUAAUGGUUAUAAGAGAAAUUAACAUUUUCAAGAACACUCCAGCUUGGUGGUGCUCCUCUGCAAGACAUGUAAAUCACACGUCUCUCUGUAGAGUGGUUUAAGUUCUGCAGGGCGUCAUAAAUGUCUCUUCCAGUUGUUUCCAUCACUGUUCAUAGAACCAGAGUCCAAAUGUAUGUAGAAUAGACAUUCAGACAUACCAGUUGAGUUUGCCGUUUGUCAACAUGGGUCUCAGCUAUUGUGAGAGCUGCAGACCUCUUCAGCACUCUAGUUUUAUGGCCUCUGCCAACCCCCAUCACCUCACUUCAGGCCUCUGUACUGUGGGGGAUACAUAUGACUCCUCCAUUGUCCAUCCUCUGCAGGAAAACCCUCUGUGGAAAGGGUGCUGGAUCCAGUUAUCUUACUGCUGUUAUGAUCCCAGCAGUCUUCAGAGUGUCAUCGUAUGCACAGUACAGUGACACAGCAUUGGAUGAUGUUCAUAGGAAACUGCUGUCAUCACCACCAUAGCUUCUGGUUCCUGUGCUUUUCACAGAAUCCUGAUGCCAUCCUUGGACUCCCCCUGCGCUGUCGGUGGAGCUUGGCACGCUCCCCUCAUCCUUCAGGUGCCCGUUUGUUGUCCACAAUCUCCUCUGUUGGCCUCUGGAAAGCCCCCUUGGCACAGCUCUCAUCCUUCGCAGCUUCGUGGUCCUUGCUGUGGCUCCAACGUCUGAUCUCAUGAUGGGCCCCAAACAGCUCAACCUUUGACCUCAACCACUGCCCGGACUGUCAGCUAUGCCUGGAAUGGGUUGCUUCUCACUGGGCCUCAGAAGAUUUCUCAGGAGAUUCCUUUCAGCAAUACUCUGACUGCUGCACCUGUAUUUCCUUGCUAGGAGGAAAAACUCCUAUUUUGAAAGCAUGUAAAGCAUCAUCAAACCACAUUCUUUAGUUCAGUGAGCUUCAUUUAUGGACCAUCAAAGCCUCAUCUGAACAUGGAUGCACCACUUGCAUAGGUUUAAUACCCGUCUGAACUGUUAAUCACAAAGAUCACACAAAAAUCAUAAAAACAUAGUUCAGAAAACAUAGAAAACAUAGUUUCAUGUAACUCUGUAAUUCUGGACCCCUCCUCUUGACGCAUGGACACUCCCAUGAGUCAACUCAUCAAACCUAGAUUUCUAGGUUAACUAGAUCACGUCCCAGUCAACAUCAGGGCGUCUCCCCCUCUGGAGCAGCACCACCCCGGACCUAUAACCCUGCAAUAAAAGAUGUUAGUGUGUUUUGCAUAAUAAGUUUGCUUCACAUCUGGCUCCGCCUGGAGCCUGCAUACACACCAUCAUGGCCUGGAAAACAAGAUCUGGAAGUAAAAUCAAACUUCACACUUAUAAACAAUUGUAUCAUAAGUAGCAAUAAAGCAUUCAGCAUCAGCAGGACAAGUACCACGUGCAGGUUUUCUCAAAUCAGUAAACUACAAUUAUUGGCAUAAUUUGCCUCAGACAUGGAUCAUCCCAUGUACUCAGUUAACAUUAGUGUAAUCGGUGACUUCCCUUAAGCAAAGUCACUCCAUGUAUUUAACACUAGGAGCUCAGUAGUGGCCAGCUAAUGAGCCCCAUAUCA
ensembl:lncRNA